AGAUGCGGUAGAUGUAAAUAAACAGUUGAGCAGCUGCAAAGGACCCUCCUCGCUGGGUAAAAUCAGGUUGCGCCGCGGAACCCGCUCCUCAGUCGGUCAACUUUGGAAGCGCGGGCAACGCAGGUGCUAUCGUCUUAAAGGGUCGGCUGCAACCGGCCC
rnacentral:sRNA from 1 species